rnacentral:rRNA from 1 species
GAUUGAUCUAGUAGUAAUCCUACAUAUCCCAUGUACUGGUGUCAUACUGACAUACCAAAAUCUAGCACAAAUAAGUUAUAACUAUUUUGAAUUACGGUAUGCAUUCUUCCAAAUGUAAAAAUAUAUUGACAUAUAAGGAAAGCGGAGAGCAUGCAAGCAGUACAGACAUUCUAGACCAUAUUAUUCAAGGGUCAAUCAUCACUUAAUUUAGGAGUAAGUAAGGUGUUAUUCCAGUGACAUUUAAGAAAAGUUCAUACACAUUUCGGUGUAACGUUCGACCUGUCGUUAAUUACACAACUAGCUCAAGUUACACACAUCAUCCACAGCAGAAAUAUUGUACACUUGCCUAUUGUCAACAUCGAUGUCACAGUGAAACGUACGAGCCAUGAGAUCAACCUACAGUUCCACUGAUUGCGCUCAAGGACUGGAUUUUAAAGCAAUGAGUUUGACGUGACAAGGCCGUGGCCUACUCUACUGUAGAGUGCUUGUCCGUUGCGUCAAAAUUAAGAAAAGUCUUACGAAACCAAC